rnacentral:rRNA from 1 species
AAAUUGAAGAGUUUGAUCAUGGCUCAGAUUGAACGCUGGCGGCAGGCCUAACACAUGCAAGUCGAACGGUAACAGGAAACAGCUUGCUGUUUCGCUGACGAGUGGCGGACGGGUGAGUAAUGUCUGGGAAACUGCCUGAUGGAGGGGGAUAACUACUGGAAACGGUAGCUAAUACCGCAUAACGUCGCAAGACCAAAGAGGGGGACCUUCGGGCCUCUUGCCAUCGGAUGUGCCCAGAUGGGAUUAGCUUGUUGGUGGGGUAACGGCUCACCAAGGCGACGAUCCCUAGCUGGUCUGAGAGGAUGACCAGCCACACUGGAACUGAGACACGGUCCAGACUCCUACGGGAGGCAGCAGUGGGGAAUAUUGCACAAUGGGCGCAAGCCUGAUGCAGCCAUGCCGCGUGUAUGAAGAAGGCCUUCGGGUUGUAAAGUACUUUCAGCGGGGAGGAAGGGAGUAAAGUUAAUACCUUUGCUCAUUGACGUUACCCGCAGAAGAAGCACCGGCUAACUCCGUGCCAGCAGCCGCGGUAAUACGGAGGGUGCAAGCGUUAAUCGGAAUUACUGGGCGUAAAGCGCACGCAGGCGGUUUGUUAAGUCAGAUGUGAAAUCCCCGGGCUCAACCUGGGAACUGCAUCUGAUACUGGCAAGCUUGAGUCUCGUAGAGGGGGGUAGAAUUCCAGGUGUAGCGGUGAAAUGCGUAGAGAUCUGGAGGAAUACCGGUGGCGAAGGCGGCCCCCUGGACGAAGACUGACGCUCAGGUGCGAAAGCGUGGGGAGCAAACAGGAUUAGAUACCCUGGUAGUCCACGCCGUAAACGAUGUCGACUUGGAGGUUGUGCCCUUGAGGCGUGGCUUCCGGAGCUAACGCGUUAAGUCGACCGCCUGGGGAGUACGGCCGCAAGGUUAAAACUCAAAUGAAUUGACGGGGGCCCGCACAAGCGGUGGAGCAUGUGGUUUAAUUCGAUGCAACGCGAAGAACCUUACCUGGUCUUGACAUCCACGGAAGUUUUCAGAGAUGAGAAUGUGCCUUCGGGAACCGUGAGACAGGUGCUGCAUGGCUGUCGUCAGCUCGUGUUGUGAAAUGUUGGGUUAAGUCCCGCAACGAGCGCAACCCUUAUCCUUUGUUGCCAGCGGUCCGGCCGGGAACUCAAAGGAGACUGCCAGUGAUAAACUGGAGGAAGGUGGGGAUGACGUCAAGUCAUCAUGGCCCUUACGACCAGGGCUACACACGUGCUACAAUGGCGCAUACAAAGAGAAGCGACCUCGCGAGAGCAAGCGGACCUCAUAAAGUGCGUCGUAGUCCGGAUUGAGUCUGCAACUCGACUCCAUGAAGUCGGAAUCGCUAGUAAUCGUGGAUCAGAAUGCCACGGUGAAUACGUUCCCGGGCCUUGUACACACCGCCCGUCACACCAUGGGAGUGGGUUGCAAAAGAAGUAGGUAGCUUAACCUUCGGGAGGGCGCUUACCACUUUGUGAUUCAUGACUGGGGUGAAGUCGUAACAAGGUAACCGUAGGGGAACCUGCGGUUGGAUCACCUCCUUA